GACGAACGCUGGCGGCGUGCUUAACACAUGCAAGUCGAACGGUAAGGCUCCAGCUUGCUGGGGUACACGAGUGGCGAACGGGUGAGUAACACGUGGGUGACCUGCCCUGCACUUCGGGAUAAGCCUGGGAAACUGGGUCUAAUACCGGAUAGGACCGCACCGUGAGGGUGUGGUGGAAAGUUUUUUCGGUGUGGGAUGGGCCCGCGGCCUAUCAGCUUGUUGGUGGGGUAAUGGCUUACCAAGGCGGCGACGGGUAGCCGGCCUGAGAGGGUGGACGGCCACAUUGGGACUGAGACACGGCCCAGACUCCUACGGGAGGCAGCAGUGGGGAAUAUUGCACAAUGGGCGGAAGCCUGAUGCAGCGACGCCGCGUGGGGGAUGACGGCCUUCGGGUUGUAAACUCCUUUCACCAUCGACGAAGGGUUUCUGACGGUAGAUGGAGAAGAAGCACCGGCUAACUACGUA
rnacentral:rRNA from 1 species